rnacentral:rRNA from 1 species
CUACCGGGGUAUCUAAUCCUGUUUGAUCCCCACACUUUCGUGCAUCAGCGUCAGUAUCGUAUUAGUAACCUGCCUACGCAAUUGGAGUUCUGGAUAAUAUCUAUGCAUUUCACCGCUACACUAUCCAUUCCAGCUACCUCAUACGAACUCAAGUCUACCAGUAUCAAUGGCACUGCAAUCGUUGAGCGACCGUCUUUCACCACUGACUUAAUAAACCGCCUACGCACCCUUUAAACCCAAUAAAUCCGGACAACGCUCGCACCCUCCGUAUUACCGCGGCUGCUGGCAC